rnacentral:snRNA from 1 species
UCUCUAUAAAUGGUGGAG